rnacentral:rRNA from 1 species
GAUGAACGCUGGCGGCGUGCCUAAUACAUGCAAGUCGAGCGAACAGACGAGGAGCUUGCUCCUCUGACGUUAGCGGCGGACGGGUGAGUAACACGUGGAUAACCUACCUAUAAGACUUGGAUAACUUCGGGAAACCGGAGCUACUACCGGAUAAUAUAUUGAACCGCAUGGUUCAAUAGUGUAAGACGGUUUUGCUGUCACUUAUAGAUGGAUCCGCGCCGCAUUAGCUAGUUGGUAAGGUAACGGCUUACCAAGGCGACGAUGCGUAGCCGACCUGAGAGGGUGAUCGGCCACACUGGAACUGAGACAAGGUCCAGACUCCUACGGGAGGCAGCAGUAGGGAAUCUUACGCAAUGGGCGAAAGCCUGACGGAGCAACGCCGCGUGAGUGAUGAAGGUCUUCGGAUCGUAAAACUCUGUUAUUAGGGAAGAACAAAUGUGUAAGUAACUAUGCACGUCUUGACGGUACCUAAUCAGAAAGCCACGGCUAACUACGUG